UGGGCCUCCUCGCUGCACUGGCCCAUGAUGACGCUGAUGACACCAUGCACCAGUGGAACCGUGUGCUGCUCGAGGACAGGCUGCAGCCCUGCACCAACACCUCGGCUUUCAGCCCCUUGAGGCACAGGUCGUGCAGGAUGGAGCUCUCUGCGGCCUCAACCAGCCACCACCUGCACCGGAACAUCCCCUCCAGCCUCGGGCACAGCCAGGGCCGCACAGGCUCCAGCAGCUGCGGCUGUCUACAGAAAAGUUGAGCCCACACCUCGGGCAGGAGGCCACCCAGGAACUCUGGCACUGAGGGGCCCUACUCAGCUGGGGACAGUGUCCCCUGUGGAGCAGCUGCACAGGACACCACAGGGUCACGGGGGUUUGCCUCGUCCAGGCAGCUGGGAGCUCUCCCUGCCUGGUCGGUGGCCACUGGCAGCUACUUGGGGGCGGUGCUGGCUGUGUCCUGAUGCUCGUCUGCGUGCUCAGAAAGCCUGACAACCUCUAUCAGUGUCCUGCAGAGUGGGCACGAGGGAUUUUUGUGUGCCCACCGCAGAAUGCAGCUCAGGCAGAAGCGGUGGUGACAGGGCAGAGCAGAAGUCACAUCCUUCCAAGAGUUCUGGCAGAUGGGGCAGUCGCCGUCUGGCUCUGUGGCCAUCCCAGGAGUGAUGGUUCCGGGCCUGGCACCGAGAUCUGCCAGGAGCAGGCCAUGCCCAGCACCAGAGAGGCCUGGCUUGAUCCUCUCGGCCUUGGCCUCUCGCUCAGUAGAGUUCAGGCUGGAGCCAGAGUGGCCCUGCCAAUGUCUGAAUGGAAGCAGCGAGGGGCACAAUGUCACAAUCCACCCCCUAUUAUGUCACAGCCCACUGCCCUCUGACACCAGCCUCCACCCCCAGAGACAAUGCAAAAGGCAUUGAAACUCCUUGGAACCCCAAGAUAGCAGUGAGGGCACAUGAGGUCACAAUCCAUCACUGCCUGAUGUCAUCAUCCACAGCUGCAGUUCUUUCAUCUGCACAAUGACAAGGCCAGGCCUCCAUCCUGGGAGCACUCCUGAGGUGACAAGGACACACUCCAAAUGACAGCAUGUGGGCCAGUGAAGAAAGGAAAUCUGCAAAUACACAAAUGGUACUCCAGGGGUGCAGCUCGACUUUUCUCCUCCUGCCUUUGCUGAGUUGUCCUCCCCAGCUGAAUCCUGAAGACUGGGAAGGGCACUGUGCCAGCAAGGUGCAGUCUGACACUUCACUGCUGACCAAACAAGGGCCCUUUCCUAUUGUUCAAGCUAUAGAACUGUGGGAAUAAAGGAAAAUGUGUCUGAA